rnacentral:tmRNA from 1 species
GGGGCUGCAUUGGUUUCGACGUGGGUACGGAAUCGCUGUGGUGCAUGUCGAGCUGAAUAAACUCGUAAAACUGAUUCAAAAAAACUAACUGCAAACGACGAACGUUUCGCACUCGCUGCUUAAACACCAGUGAGCCUUACAACAGCAGGCCGAUGGGCUGGGCAAGGGUGGCUUGAUCGCAAGGUCGGGUUAUCCAGGCUGUAAGGUCAUUCACAUCGGCUGGCCUAUCACCGGGUACCUUGGUGGUGAGCAAGAAUUAAGGGUACUGGCGAUGUUGAAAGCGUGUGGCUGCGCGUUCAAAAGGGCGAGACCCAAAUCAGACCACUAAACAUGUAGAUCUGCUCGAAGAUGGCUUACGGACGCGGGUUCAAAUCCCGCCAGCUCCACCA